rnacentral:rRNA from 1 species
UACGAACUGUGCAAACGUUAUUCGGAAUCACUGGGCUUAAAGGGUGCGUAGGCGGCUGUCUAAGUAGGGUGUGAAAGCCCCCGGCUCAACCGGGGAAUUGCGCCCUAAACUGGAUGGCUUGAGUGAGGUAGGGGUGUGUGGAACUUCCGGUGGAGCGGUGAAAUGUGUUGAUAUCGGAAGGAACGCCGGUGGCGAAAGCGACACACUGGGUCUCAACUGACGCUGAGGCACGAAAGCCAGGGGAGCAAACGGGG